CAUAUCACAUUGAAACACCUGUUCCCAUACAAUCAAUGAAGUUAAGCAACGUUGAGCAUGGCCAGUACCUAGAUGGGUGACUGCUUGGAAAUACUAGGUGCCAU